GCCUUAGUGGCCAAGUGGUAAGGCGUCGGUCUCGUAAACCGAAGAUCAUGGUUUGGAACCCCAUCUAAGGCU